rnacentral:lncRNA from 1 species
AUGCCGCACAAAGCGCCGGUCUCUCCCCGUAGCACCACGUGCCAGAGGGGAAGGGGGGGGGUGUUUAAAUUUCCCUCCAGCAGCACACGCGCUGUCAGCGAACGGCAGCGGGAUGAGGUGGGAGCCCCCUCAACUCACACAGCGGCGGGCAGCCACGUGCACGCUGCUCCCCCGGCUCCCCCACCCCACUAUCCCCCCCAUCCAUCCCCACUCUCCAUCCCCACUCCGGUUCCCCGCUCCCCGCCACGUGCCGCCCGCCCCGUCCGGUGGCCGCGCGCUCCGCGAUUAAAGAGCGCCCGAACAAAGCACUGUGGGAAAUGCAGUCCUCCAUUCAAAGCCCCAAAAACGCGCCAAGCCGCCCAACCUCCCCCCGCCCGCCCAGCCCCGAGCCCCCCCCGCCGCCUCCUCCUCCCCCCCGAGGGCGCGCAGAGCGGCGCGGGCCGCACCGCCGAGCGGAGCGGAGGGCGGCUCCGUACGGCCCCUUUGUCCCGGCCCGACGGGGGCACCUCGGCCGCCUCCCGCCCCCUCCUCAUCCCUCCCCUCCGUGCCGCCCCCCCCGCUCCCCCCGUUACCAUCCCUCUCUCUCCUGCUCGCUGCGGACCGGAUCGCGGCGCCCCGACGGCACCGAGCGCGUGGUCCCGCUCCCUCCCGCCCCCUCCGUGCGCGCGCGCGCGCUCUCCCUGUGGUGGCGCGCUCCCGCCCCGCCCCCUCCCUCCCCGCACACUACACUUCCCAGCGGCCCUAUUUGCACCGCGCAUGCGCCCCGCCCCCCCCCCCCCCCCCCCCCGCCGGCACCGGGACGGAGCCGCGCCACGUGCGACCACCCCACGUGUGUCCGCGCAGCGCCCCGCGGCUCAGCGCCCCGCAGCGGGGACCGACACCCGCCCACCCCCAAAGUUCCGCUCUCCCCCCCCGCGGUCCCGUCCAUUGUUGGAGCCGUGCGAGCGCGGGGGGCGCGGAGCGGUAACGCAACGGCCCCACGGAGCCGCGGGCCCACGCGUGAGGCCGAGCCCCGCGCACUCGUACAGGUGGUGGGAUGGGGGGAGCUGCCCUGGUACCCGCACACACACACCGACCCAACCGCAACACAGCGGGAACACGCGGCACCACGGGACGGAGAGCGACCAGCGCGCCAAGUCCUGCCAUGUUUUGGGGGAGAGUUGUGCCGCGCCGCCCGGCCUCUCCCCAUGCGCGUGUGCGUGA